CAAACGACUCUCGGCAACGGAUAUCUCGGCUCACGCAUCGAUGAAGAACGUAGCAAAAUGCGAUACUUGGUGUGAAUUGCAGAAUCCCGUGAACCAUCGAGUUUUUGAACGCAAGUUGCGCCCAAAGCCAUCCGGCCGAGGGCACGCCUGCCUGGGCGUCACGC
rnacentral:rRNA from 9 species